AAAAAGUUUGAGUUUUUUUUGUUCCAGACCCCACAUUACUAAACAGGAGGGAAAGAUUACCUUGAAUCUUUUGUAUUAAAGUGCGUGCUGGAGGCAUUUCAAGUUGGAUGUGAAAUCCCCAGGUCAAACCCGGGAAAUGCUUUCGAAACUGGCAGGAUAGAAUCCUGUAGAGGGGGGUAGAAUGCCAGGUGUAGCGGUGAAAUGUGUAGAGAUCCGGAGGAAUACCGGUGGCGAAGGGGGCCCCCUGGACAAAGACUGACGGUCAGGUGGGAAAGCGUGGGGAGCAACCAGGAUUAGAUACCCUGGUAGUCCACGCCGUAAACCAUGUCAACUUGGAGGUUGUGCCCUUGAGGCGUGGCUUCCGGAGCUAACGCGUUAAGUCGACCGCCUGGGGAGUACGGCCGCAAGGUUAAAACUCAAAUGAAUUGACGGGGGCCCGCACAAGCGGUGGAGCAUGUGGUUUAAUUCGAUGCAACGCGAAGAACCUUACCUACUCUUGACAUCCAGAGAACUUACCAGAGAUGCUUUGGUGCCUUCGGGAACUCUGAGACAGGUGCUGCAUGGCUGUCGUCAGCUCGUGUUGUGAAAUGUUGGGUUAAGUCCCGCAACGAGCGCAACCCUUAUCCUUUGUUGCCAGCGGUUAGGCCGGGAACUCAAAGGAGACUGCCAGUGAUAAACUGGAGGAAGGUGGGGAUGACGUCAAGUCAUCAUGGCCCUUACGAGUAGGGCUACACACGUGCUACAAUGGCGCAUACAAAGAGAAGCGACCUCGCGAGAGCAAGCGGACCUCAUAAAGUGCGUCGUAGUCCGGAUUGGAGUCUGCAACUCGACUCCAUGAAGUCGGAAUCGCUAGUAAUCGUAGAUCAGAAUGCUACGGUGAAUACGUUCCCGGGCCUUGUACACACCGCCCGUCACACCAUGGGAGUGGGUUGCAAAAGAAGUAGGUAGCUUAACCUUCGGGAGGGCGCUUACCACUUUGUGAUUCAU
rnacentral:rRNA from 1 species